rnacentral:rRNA from 1 species
CCCUUAGAUGUUCUGGGCCGCACGCGCGCUACACUGACGAUGGCAACGAGUUUUUCCUUCGCCGAAAGGUGUGGGUAAUCUUUUGAAACAUCGUCGUGCGGGGGAUAGAUCAUUGCAAUUUUUGAUCUUGAACGAGGAAUUCCUAGUAAGCGCGAGUCAUCAGCUCGCGUUGAUUACGUCCCUGCCCUUUGUACACACCGCCCGUCGCUACUACCGAUUGAAUGGUUUAGUGAGGACUCCUGAUUGGCGCCGCCGCCCCGGCAACGGAGCAGCGGACUGCCGAAAAGUUGUUCAAACUUGAUCAUUUAGAGGAAGUAAAAGUCGUAACA